rnacentral:rRNA from 1 species
GACGAACGCUGGCGGCGUGCUUAACACAUGCAAGUCGAGCGGUAAGGCCCUUUCGGGGGUACACGAGCGGCGAACGGGUGAGUAACACGUGGGUGACCUGCCCUCAGCUCUGGGAUAAGCCUGGGAAACCGGGUCUAAUACUGGAUAUGACUCCAUGACGCAUGUUGUGGGGUGGAAAGCCUUGUGCGGCUGAGGAUGGGCCCGCGGCCUAUCAGCUUGUUGGUGGGGUGAGGCCUACCAAGGCGACGACGGGUAGCCGGCCUGAGAGGGCGACCGGCCACACUGGGACUGAGACACGGCCCAGACUCCUACGGGAGGCAGCAGUGGGGAAUCUUGCGCAAUGGGCGAAAGCCUGACGCAGCGACGCCGCGUGAGGGAUGACGGCCUCGGUUGUAA